rnacentral:snRNA from 1 species
CUGAUUUGUUGCUAAGGUCAU